rnacentral:lncRNA from 1 species
ACUUGUGGGAUGAAAACUUGAUCUGAAGUCUAAGUUGUUAACGGAUACGAUAUGGGAAGGUUGAGCUACUAUUUAUCUGUUCCUAGAGAUGCUAGAAUUCUGGAGAAUUUUAUCUUUGAAAAUCUUUAAAAUGUUGCAUGAUGAGUUCCUAUAUGAUGAGAGCUUAAAUUCCUACCACAGCCAUAUAUACAUGCUUGCUAGAUUUUGAGCCACACAUUUACUAUUUACUGCUUAUGAGCAUUGAGUGUGGUCAAGCUGUGUAGACCCUUAGGAGCUUGUCAUGUGGUUAAAUCAAGAUUUCACUUGCACGUUCACUCAUAUAUGCUACUUCUACUCCGGAAGUACCAUCCACAUAUAUCUACCCAUUCCAUCUCCAGAACCACCUAAAAAUAUUCUACUCCUAAUCCGGGAGAGAAUAACCAAAAAUAUUUCUGUUUUCCCCUUGUAAAAUAAAUGCUCAAGAUAUCUUGUUACUACCACUUGCUAUAUUAUCUCAAGAGAUGAAUGCUCUAAAAAAAAGGGAAUAAUACGAGGAAAUAAAAAGGAGUAAGUGCUCGGAACCUCGAAAGAAAAGAAAAAGUGAGACGAGAGGUAAAAAUGGACAAGUGUCCGACAGUAGAAUUAGGGGUGCAAGAUACCCACCUGAGAGACAAGAAAAAGAAGAGCAUCUCAUUCUCCUCAUAAAGUUUCAAAAGCAAGGAAGGUAUGUAUCCCCUCAAAGAGCAAAAGUAGAAUUAGACUUCCACCACCAUUGUUUUCAUCAUUGUUAUCACCAUCAUCACCAUACACCAUUCAUUCGCCACACAUGCACAUCUUGAUUAAACUUAUUGACUUGUUACUUUGGAUCCAUGGUUUGACUAUGCAAUAAAUGUCUUGUAAGUAUGUAUACUUUAUCUCCCACCUAUGAGCUCCAGAUAUUAAAGCCUUAUUAGAGUAGGGUGAGAGAAAAGGCAAUGUCACUAUGCCUCAUACCAUAAAUACCAC